GACGAGCGCUGGCGGCGUGCUUAACACAUGCAAGUCGAACGAUGAAGCCCAGCUUGCUGGGUGGAAGAGUGGCGAACGGGUGAGUAACACGUGAGUAACCUGCCCAUCACUCUGGGAUAAGCGCUGGAAACGGCGUCUAAUACUGGAUAUGAACAGCGGCCGCAUGGUCAGUUGUUGGAAAGAUUUAUUGGUGAUGGAUGGACUCGCGGCCUAUCAGCUAGUUGGUGAGGUAAUGGCUCACCAAGGCGACGACGGGUAGCCGGCCUGAGAGGGUGACCGGCCACACUGGGACUGAGACACGGCCCAGACUCCUACGGGAGGCAGCAGUGGGGAAUAUUGCACAAUGGGCGCAAGCCUGAUGCAGCAACGCCGCGUGAGGGAUGACGGCCUCGGUUGUAACCUCUUUAGUAGGUAAGAAGCGCAAGUGACGGUACUGCAGAAAAGACACGGCUAACUACGUGCCAGCGCGACC
rnacentral:rRNA from 1 species